rnacentral:rRNA from 1 species
AUACGCAGGGUGCAAGCGUUAAUCGGAAUUACUGGGCGUAAAGCGUGCGCAGGCGGUUUUGUAAGACAGAGGUGAAAUCCCCGGGCUCAACCUGGGGACUGCCUUUGUGACUGCAAGGCUAGAGUACGGCAGAGGGGGGUGGAAUUCCGGGUGUAGCCGUGAAAUGCGUAGAUAUGCGGAGGAACACCGAUGGCGAAGGCAAUCCCCUGGGCCUGUACUGACGCUCAUGCACGAAAGCGUGGGGAGCAAACAGGAUUAGAUACCCUGGUAGUCCACGCCCUAAACGAUGUCAACUGGUUGUUGGGUCUUCAUUGACUCAGUAACGAAGCUAACGCGUGAAGUUGACCGCCUGGGGAGUACGGCCGCAAGGUUGAAACUCAAAUGAAUUGACGGGG